UGAAAAUCCAUGUUGCCUUCUCUUUGG
rnacentral:piRNA from 1 species